rnacentral:rRNA from 1 species
GGGGGAGUAACGAUCGGGAAACUGGUGCUAAUACCGCAUGAUACCUGAGGGUCAAAGGCGCAAGUCGCCUGUGGAGGAGCCCUGCGUUCGAUUAGCUUGUUGGUGGGGUAAAGGCCUACCAAGGCGAUGAUCGAUAGCUGGUCUGAGAGGAUGAUCAGCCACACUGGGACUGAGACACGGCCCAG